rnacentral:rRNA from 1 species
AUUGAACGCUGGCGGCAUGCCUUACACAUGCAAGUCGAACGGCAGCACGGGAGCAAUCCUGGUGGCGAGUGGCGAACGGGUGAGUAAGACAUCGGAACGUGCCCAAUCGUGGGGGAUAACGUAGAGAAAGCUACGCUAAUACCGCAUACGAUCUACGGAUGAAAGCAGGGGAUCGCAAGACCUUGCGCGAGUGGAGCUGCCGAUGGCAGAUUAGGUAGUUGGUGGGGUAAAGGCCUACCAAGCCGACGAUCUGUAGCUGGUCUGAGAGGACGACCAGCCACACUGGGACUGAGACACGGCCCAGACUCCUACGGGAGGCAGCAGUGGGGAAUUUUGGACAAUGGGCGCAAGCCUGAUCCAGCCAUGCCGCGUGCAGGAUGAAGGCCUUCGGGUUGUAAACUGCUUUUGUACGGAACGAAACGGCGCUUUCUAAUACAGAGCGCUAAUGACGGUACCGUAAGAAUAAGCACCGGCUAACUACGUGCCAGCCGCCGCGGUAAGAC